rnacentral:rRNA from 1 species
UACGUAGGGUGCGAGCGUUGUCCGGAAUUAUUGGGCGUAAAGAGCUUGUAGGCGGUCUGUCGCGUCUGCUGUGAAAAUCCGGGGCUCAACCCCGGACUUGCAGUGGGUACGGGCAGACUAGAGUGUGGUAGGGGAGACUGGAAUUCCUGGUGUAGCGGUGAAAUGCGCAGAUAUCAGGAGGAACACCGAUGGCGAAGGCAGGUCUCUGGGCCGCUACUGACGCUGAGAAGCGAAAGCGUGGGGAGCGAACAGG